AGUGCUGGUUCAGUGGUUCAAGUUUUGGGCUACUGAUCAGAAGGUUGCGGGUUCAAAUCCCAGCACCACUA